UUGACCUCAAAUCAGGUAGGACUACCCGCUGAACUUAAGCAUAUCAAUAAGCGGAGGAAAAGAAACUAACAAGGAUUCCCCUAGUAACUGCGAGUGAAGCGGGAAAAGCUCAAAUUUAAAAUCUGGCAGUCUUUUUUUUCUUCUUUGGCUGUCCGAGUUGUAAUCUAGAGAAGUGCUUACCUGCACUGGA
rnacentral:rRNA from 1 species